UUGAACGCUGGCGGCAGGCCUAAUACAUGCAAGUCGAGCGGAUGAAGGGAGCUUGCUCCUGGAUUCAGCGGCGGACGGGUGAGUAAUGCCUAGGAAUCUGCCUGGUAGUGGGGGAUAACGUCCGGAAACGGGCGCUAAUACCGCAUACGUCCUGAGGGAGAAAGUGGGGGAUCUUCGGACCUCACGCUAUCAGAUGAGCCUAGGUCGGAUUAGCUAGUUGGUGGGGUAAAGGCCUACCAAGGCGACGAUCCGUAACUGGUCUGAGAGGAUGAUCAGUCACACUGGAACUGAGACACGGUCCAGACUCCUACGGGAGGCAGCAGUGGGGAAUAUUGGACAAUGGGCGAAAGCCUGAUCCAGCCAUGCCGCGUGUGUGAAGAAGGUCUUCGGAUUGUAAAGCACUUUAAGUUGGGAGGAAGGGCAGUAAGUUAAUACCUUGCUGUUUUGACGUUACCAACAGAAUAAGCACCGGCUAACUUCGUG
rnacentral:rRNA from 1 species